rnacentral:rRNA from 1 species
GCGAGGGGGAUAACAGUGGGAAACGACUGCUAAUACCGCAUAAUGUCUUCGGACCAAACGGGGCUUCGGCUCCGGCGCAAAGAGAGGCCCAAGUGAGAUUAGCUAGUUGGUAAGGUAACGGCUUACCAAGGCGACGAUCUCUAGCUGUUCUGAGAGGAAGAUCAGCCACACUGGGACUGAGACACGGCCCAGACUCCUACGGGAGGCAGCAGUGGGGAAUAUUGCACAAUGGGGGAAACCCUGAUGCAGCCAUGCCGCGUGUGUGAAGAAGGCCUUCGGGUUGUAAAGCACUUUCAGUUGUGAGGAAAAGUUAGUAGUUAAUACCUGCUAGCCGUGACGUUAACAACAGAAGAAGCACCGGCUAACUCCGUGCCAGCAGCCGCGGUAAUACGGAGGGUGCGAGCGUUAAUCGGAAUUACUGGGCGUAAAGCGCACGCAGGCGGUUUGUUAAGCUAGAUGUGAAAGCCCCGGGCUCAACCUGGGAUGGUCAUUUAGAACUGGCAGACUAGAGUCUUGGAGAGGGGAGUGGAAUUCCAGGUGUAGCGGUGAAAUGCGUAGAUAUCUGGAGGAACAUCAGUGGCGAAGGCGACUCCCUGGCCAAAGACUGACGCUCAUGUGCGAAAGUGUGGGUAGCGAACAGGAUUAGAUACCCUGGUAGUCCACACCGUAAACGCUGUCUACUAGCUGUGUGUGCCUUUAAGGCGUGCGUAGCGAAGCUAACGCGCUAAGUAGACCGCCUGGGGAGUACGGCCGCAAGGUUAAAACUCAAAUGAAUUGACGGGGGCCCGCACAAGCGGUGGAGCAUGUGGUUUAAUUCGAUGCAACGCGAAGAACCUUACCUACACUUGACAUGCUGAGAAGUUACUAGAGAUAGUUUCGUGCCUUCGGGAACUCAGACACAGGUGCUGCAUGGCUGUCGUCAGCUCGUGUCGUGAGAUGUUGGGUUAAGUCCCGCAACGAGCGCAACCCUUGUCCUUAGUUGCCAGCCUUAAGUUGGGCACUCUAGGAGACUGCCGGUGACAAACCGGAGGAAGGUGGGGACGACGUCAGUCAUCAUGGGCCCUUACGUGUAGGGCUACACACGUGCUACAUGGGCAUUUACAGAGGGAAGCGAGACAGUGAUGUGGAGCGGACCCCUUAAAGAAUGUCGUAUCCCGG